ACAAAUGUGACCUUGUUCCAACCUGGGCAACAAAACGGUGGGUUGCUGUCCUCUCCCAGGAUUAUCCAACACUUGCUUUCCAUGCAAGCCUUACUAACCCGUUUGGCAAGGGAGCAUUCAUUCAGCUUCUGCGGCAGUUUGGAAAGUUGCACACUGACAAGAAACAGAUCAGUGUUGGGUUCAUUGGCUAUCCAAAUGUUGGCAAGAGCUCUGUGAUAAAUACAUUGCGUUCUAAGAAAGUUUGCAACGUGGCUCCCAUUGCAGGUGAAACAAAGGUACGUUGGGCGCAGGGUGACCUUACUUUUGCAUAUUUUCUUUUCAUAGAGAGUGAUUGUUUAGGACUUGUUGAUUUCUCUCUGCUUCUCUUGAAUGCAGACCACCAUUAGGAGUUUAGCUCACCAUAUAAUAGUUUGGAACGUAUCAGAGUUGUUUCUGCCCACUUUGAUAAGACUGAGAGUAUUUUAUAUGCCCCCGUGUGGCUUUGGCAUGUGUUAGUUAAUGUGAUUCAUAUUUAGAUCUGUUUUAAAUUAUCA
rnacentral:sRNA from 1 species